rnacentral:rRNA from 1 species
AACGAACGCUGGCGGUAUGCUUAACACAUGCAAGUCGAACGAGAAAGCCCUUCGGGGUGAGUAGAGUGGCGCACGGGUGAGUAACGCAUGGGAACGUACCCUUUUGUCAGGAAUAACCACUGGAAACGGUGGCUAAUACCAGAUGGUCUCGCAAGAGUAAAGAAGGCCUCUACUUGUAAGCUUUCGCAAAAGGAUCGGCCCAUGUCCCAUUAGCUUGUUGGUGAGGUAACGGCUCACCAAGGCUACGAUGGGUAGCUGGUCUGAGAGGAUGAUCAGCCACACUGGAACUGAGACACGGUCCAGACUCCUACGGGAGGCAGCAGUGGGAAUAUUGCACAAUGGGCGCAAGCCUGAUGCAGCAAUACCGCGUGAGUGAAGAAGGCUCUUGGGUCGUAAAGCUCUUUCGAUUGGGAAGCAGGGUUCUAUUGCUAAUAUCAGUAGGACUUGACGGUACCUAAAGAAGAAGCACCGGCUAAUUUCGUGCCAGC